rnacentral:rRNA from 1 species
CAGUUCGGAUUGCAGGCUGCAACUCGCCUGUAUGAAGUCGGAAUUGCUAGUAAUCGUGGAUCAGCAUGCCACGGUGAAUACGUUCCCGGGCCUUGUACACACCGCCCGUCACACCAUGAGAGCCGGGAACACCCGAAGUCCGUAGUCUAACCUAUAUGGAGAACGCGGCCGAAGGUGGGUUUGGUAAUUGGGGUGAAGUCGUAACAAGGUAUC